AUGGGUGCACGUGCUGGGCCCAGGCAAUUUUACGAGUAUCAGUGUUUUUUAACAGGACAAAUACCACAUCAAGCUCAAGAUCAGCCUUUGUUGGUAGCUGGUUUCAGAUGGUCUAAGAUGAUGUUUAGCUGCAAUACAAAAACAUACCCUAUGCUGGUAAGUCAGCUGCUUAGCAAUUUAUUUCAUUCAUACUUGAUGAAGUUGCCAGUGCUGGUUGAUAAUAGUGAAGAACAGCAAAACAAUACAAUGCAAGGUCUUUGCUUGACAGUAAUGACAUUAUAAAGACAAUGUAAAUGUAUUUUAGAGACAAUGCACAAUAUACAACAUAUACAGUAUACAAGCAAUACACACACUAUACAAAACUAUACAACACUACAAUAACAGUAAGGAACAAACAGAUGACGAAAGAAAUAUAAUUCUUUGGUAGUAAAAACAUGUAUGUAUAUAUUAUAAACUUACCUGGCGGCAUACAGGCUACAGUAUUGUUGAGCAUACAUUUUUUUAAACAGAAGAGAGCAUGAAAGACCACACAUUAAAGAGUAGUUCUCUCGCAGAAUGGCAUCUCACUGGUGGAGACCCUUAUUCACCUUUCACCACAACAGUGGAGCCAACACAAUUGAACUAAACACACAUAUUAUCCCAGCCCCCCAAAAAAAACUAUGUAUAAUAUUUAUUUUUUUAGAAUGGGACAAGCUAUCUGUAAAACUUUUAGUGCUGAUAGUCUUUGUUAAAUUACAUUACAUUUUACAUUAUAUUACAGUUAGAUAAAGGCUUCCCUCCUAACAAGAAUCAAAAGUUAAGCGAUACAUUACAGUGCGCUUCAGUUCUAAACUAAGGUUUAAAAGCCGAUGAAGCAAUUCACAAAAUAUUCACAAAAUAUGUGUUAUUAUCAAAAGUUAGCGAAGGAUGAGCGCAAUAAUUAUUAAGCUGUGGUGACCCAAGGCCUUUCAGCACAACUCAGAUGACCUCAGGAUGGAAGAAAACCCUAAAAUGAAAAACACUCUUUGCACUAUUUGUCAGAGUUGUUUGUACCUUUGUUUUUGUCACUGCUAGCCAUUAUUUUGUCAGUGCUAAUAAUGUAUCACUACUUUGUUCUUCAGAAAUGUUUCAUCUCAGUAUGAACUCAGAACAUGAGCUAAGGCAAAAGACAGAUAAUUCAAGUUGAUUAAUCAUGUGCUCUUCAUUUCAGAGCCAGUAAGUCCCUAUGGGGAGGGGGACAGCCAAGUCAAAUGCAGUUCCUAGAACCGAACAUUUUCCAGCCUCUCAGAUAUGGCAGACACUG
rnacentral:lncRNA from 1 species